rnacentral:rRNA from 1 species
UACGAAGGGUGCAAGCGUUAGUCGGAAUUACUGGGCGUAAAGCGUGCGUAGGUGGUUUCUUAAGUCCGUUGUGAAAGCCCUGGGCUCAACCUGGGAACUGCAGUGGAUACUGAGAGGCUAGAGUGUGUCAGAGGAUGGUGGAAUUCCCGGUGUAGCGGUGAAAUGCGUAGAGAUCGGGAGGAACAUCAGUGGCGAAGGCGGCCAUCUGGGCCGAUACUGACGCUGAGGAGCGAAAGCGUGGGGAGCGAACAGG